GGGGAGCGAACAGGAUUAGAUACCCUGGUAGUCCACGCCGUAAACGAUGCUAACUCGUUUUUGGGUCUUCGGAUUCAGAGACUAAGCGAAAGUGAUAAGUUAGCCACCUGGGGAGUACGUUCGCAAGAAUGAAACUCAAAGGAAUUGACGGGGGCCCGCACAAGCGGUGGAUUAUGUGGUUUAAUUCGAUGAUACGCGAGGAACCUUACCAAGGCUUAAAUGGGUAAUGACGGGUUUAGAAAUAGACUUUUCUUCGGACAAUUUUCAAGGUGCUGCAUGGUUGUCGUCAGCUCGUGCCGUGAGGUGUUAGGUUAAGUCCUGCAACGAGCGCAACCCCUAUCAUUAGUUGCCAGCGUUUAAAGACGGGGACUCUAAUGAGACUGCCGGUGCAAACCGCGAGGAAGGUGGGGACGACGUCAAGUCAUCACGGCCCUUACGUCUUGGGCUACACACGUGCUACAAUGGUAAGUACAGAGGGCAGCUACUUAGCAAUAAGAUGCGAAUCUCAAAAACUUAUCUCAGUUCGGAUUGGAGUCUGCAACUCGACUCUAUGAAGCUGGAAUCGCUAGUAAUCGCAUAUCAGCCAUGAUGCGGUGAAUACGUUCCCGGGCCUUGUACACACCGCCCGUCAAGCCAUGGAAGCUGGGGGUACCUGAAGUCGGUGACCGUAAAAGGAGCUGCCUAGGGUAAAACUGGUAACUAGGGCUAAGUCGUAACAAGGUAGCCGUACCGGAAGGUGCGGCUG
rnacentral:rRNA from 1 species